rnacentral:rRNA from 1 species
UACGUAGGUGGCAAGCGUUGUCCGGAUUUACUGGGCGUAAAGCGCACGUAGGCGGACUGUUAAGUCGGGGGGUGAAAUCCUGGGGCUCAACCUCAGAAUUGCCUCCGAUACUGGCAGUCUCGAGUGCGGGAGAGGUGAGUGGAAUUCCCAGUGUAGAGGUGAAAGUGCGCAGAUAUCAGGAAGAACACCAAUGGCGAAGGCAGCUCGUCUGGGACGGUACUGACGCUGAGACGCGAAAGCGUGGGGAGCGAACAGG